CCAAUAGCGUAUAUUAAAGUUGUUGCAGUUAAAAAGCUCGUAGUUGAACUUCGGGGUUUACCCAUUGGUCAGGCUUAAUUGUCUGUACUGGUGAGAUAAAUCUCUACCUUCUGAGGAACUUUCAUGCCAUUUAUUUGGUGUGAUGGGAAAUCAGGACUGUUACUUUGAAAAAAUUAGAGUGUUUAAAGCAGGCUAACGUCUGAAUACAUUAGCAUGGAAUAAUGAAAUAGGACGGACUGAUUCUAUUUCGUUGGUUUCUAGGAUCACCGUAAUGAUUAAUAGGGAUAGUUGGGGGCAUUAGUAUUCAAUUGUCAGAGGUGAAAUUCUUGGAUUUAUUGAAGACUAACUGCUGCGAAAGCAUUUGCCAAGGAUGUUUUCAUUAAUAAAGAACAAAAGUUAGGGGAUCGAAGACGAUCAGAUACCGUCGUAGCCUUAACCAUAAACUAUGCCGACUAGGGAUCGGACGAAGUUAAUUUUAUAAUGACCCUUUCGGCACCUUACG
rnacentral:rRNA from 1 species